UUUCCUGCUGUUCUGGUUUGGUUAGCUUUUCUUACCCUUUUUUAUGGACCUGUGCUUGCUAUGGUGUCAUUUCAUGUCCUAUUAUAUUAGGUUUUAAAAUAUGGCAGCUAUUCGGUUGUUGUCAGGUUUGGUUUUCUUUCCUGCUGUUCUGGUUUGGUUAGCUUUUCCUACCCUUUUUAUGGACCUGUGCUUGCUAUGUUGUCAUUUCAUGUCCUAUUUUACUAGGUUUUAAAAUAUGGCAGCUACUAUUGCCCUUGGGCUCGCCAUGCUUUUACGUCCUUUCUUUUGGGUUGGAGAGUGCAGAUAGGCUCAUUCGUGUUUCGAUUUGGUUUUUUUUUUUCAUGCCUCUAUGCUUGCUUCCUCUUUUUGUUCAUUUAGCUUUCUACCAUUGUUCCUCCUGGUGCAUCUUUUUGGGCAACUUUUCUUCCUUUAUUAUCGUUAGCUUGGUUCUGUCUUUUAUUUUUUCGAUGCUAAUUUCUUUGAGGUUAUCUUCCUAGGUUUUGGUUUUCUUUCAUUGAAUAUGCAGGUUUGUUUUGUGUUCAUAGUGUCUCAUAGGAAUAGUUUUCCAGUGCGCUUGCUGAGGCUUUUGUCUCCUUUGUGGAUGUUCUUCUUGGCCAGAGGAUCAUGGAACUGUCUUAGUCUUUGAUCGGCCAGCUUUCUGAACUCAGUUGUGCGCUUUUUUCCCUAUUGAUCCACUGUUAUCUUGGGCUCUUUCAUUCCUAAUUUAUCUGAGGUACUUUUCUUUGUUUCUUUUGCGCUCUUAUUCUUAUCGAUGUUUUUUUUGUUCAUUUCAAUGGACUUUGGCAUGGCUUUAUCUUUUUUCCUGUCUUUUCGAGGUUACAGUGUAUUUUUAUAAAACUGCCCCCACCUUUUCAUAUCUAAGAUCGUAGGCUGAUACAUUGUUUUUUGGUGUUUUUUUUCCAUAUAUUUAAACCAUUUUAUGGCGCUCUCAAAUUCAUGACAUGUACAAAAGUUUUUGGGAUUUUUUGCGAGUAACCUGCAUUUGCAGAUUCAUUGUUAAGUCAUGCAUAGUUCUCUGAUUCCUAGGUUUUUUGAGUUAGGAGAGUAUGCAGGUGUUAAGGUAAGUUAAACACCAACUCCAUUACUUUCUUCCUGUAUUUUUUUUUUAUAUAUAUAGUUUUUGGUGAACCAUUGGAUUGUACCUCCGUCACAUGCUUUUAACUUGGUAGCAUGAAGUUUUAGGAUUUCUGUGAAAUAUAGAUUGAGAGCUUCAUUUGUGUUUGAUUUGUUUGUUAUGGUUUGAUUGCUUUAUUAUGUUGUAAGAAAUGAAUAUAAUGCAUGCUAUGGUGAUAUUGUUUCUUCUCUUGACCCUGUUCCAAUAUAAUUGCUUUCCAACCGAAUGAAGGUGUUCUUUUCUUUUCUGACGUGUCAUCUUCUUCUUUUUUUUUUCCCGUUGAGUUCCUUCGCUUUCCCUGCUGGUUUUUUUGCCACUUGCUGAGAGAGAACAUACUAACACCCUUUGAUCUGCAGCUUGAGAACUUCAGCCUUCUAACACAUAUCCACUUAGACACUUUAUUGGAUGAAAUAAAGAGAUUUGGCCAGGACUGCUUCAUUUUCCUCCGUUGCUUCAUAGGCGACUGUUUUUUACAGGUUCACUUAUGAUUUUUUUUACCAAUUCAAAUGUUUUUGUUUGCUGCGCUGGCCUGAAGAAAGGUGCCUAACAGCCUGUUAACCUGAGCUUGAGAUCUCAUCCACUUGGUUGGGACCCCCGCCUUCUUUUCGCUGUUUUUUCUGCGUCUGUUUGUCCAAGUUUGUUUCUGCUCUUAUCCUCCUGCCCAUCUCUUUGGUUUUCAUUAUUGAGGAGCAGUAAUCCAAUUCUUCAGCAGCCCUUAAUUUGUGUGGGAACAUUAAACGCUUCCGGUCCAAAGUGUGAUAAACAAUGGAACUCAUGUGAAGAACAUUGAUCAUCAACCUGAGCUCAACGAGUUUUUGGUCAACACCCAUUUAGUUUUAGAUGUUUUUAAUAAAAAAAAUAAAAUUAAUGCACUUUAAAAAACAAUUUUUAUUAUAUUUUUAAAGACAUGCCGUAAAUACAAACUAUAAUGAAAUAUGCAUUUAUCAUUUUUAGCUACAUUCAUUGUACUAUCUUUUAUGAUAUAUGAUUGUGAUGGCUUCAUUAAAGGAGAUAUCAUGGUAUUAUGGUUGAGCUUAUUGGUUACCAUGAAUGCUGUCAUAAAUUAUUGUUGAGCAGUCAUGUGCUGGUUGGGUAUUUAUUUUUUAUUUUAUUUUAUGAUAAUCAAGAAAUGCAAUCUUAAGAUUAUACCAAUGGCAAUCUUAAGCUGCCAGACGUUAAGAAAAUAGGCAAGGCUUGGACCCAGCCAGCCCGCGCAGACCUAGGCUACUGUGCAAGCCCGAGUAGAAUGAAAGGAGGAUGUAACGCCGCAGCAUUCUUCGGUUAAUCGUUGGGAUCUGGCAUUUGUGCUGAAUUCCCUCGUCCCAUCGACAUCAUAAACACUCGGAAUCUCAUUUUUUUACGGUUUGGUUUUCAUUGAAAAAUACAUUUAAACACACCUAAAGACGUGGUAAUAACAUAUAUUACCUUCAAAAUUAUUUUUAAACAAUUAAUUGACAUGAAAAGUUUUUA